UACAGAGGGGGCGAGCGUUGUUCGGAAUUACUGGGCGUAAAGGGCGCGUAGGCGGCCCGCUAAGUCGAACGUGAAAUCCCCAGGCUCAACCUGGGAACUGCGUCCGAUACUGGCAGGCUUGAAUCCGGGAGAGGGAUGUGGAAUUCCAGGUGUAGCGGUGAAAUGCGCAGAUAUCAGGAGGAACACCAAUUGCGAAGGCAGCUCGCUGGGACGUUACUGACGCUGAGACGCGAAAGCGUGGGGAGCAAACAGG
rnacentral:rRNA from 1 species